ensembl:lncRNA
GGGAUAUUAUGCUAGGGCUUAUACCAGCCAUUAGUUCUGAUUACUGGGGAGCUUUUGAGGCGCAAAAUGGCCGUGAUGAUUGGAAUCGCUUUCAGAGUUUCUUGGCUUUGUUGCCUGCUAAUUGUCGGGAUAACCUGUUCUACAUCAAGUGAUGGGUAUCCUGCACCAGGUUCUGAUGCAGCAUGGCUCUAUACAGGCCCACUUAGGUCUAAAGGAUAUGGUAAUUACAACUCUCCAACAGCUCAAUUGCAAGCGCAGCUGACCGAAGAACAACAUACACAUCUGGAAGCCAUCCUUCAAAAGCAACUGGCCCCCAUGCCCCAGGCACCUCAGAAAAUGUGGUAUCCAAUGCACAUUCCCCAGCAGCAACAGGAAUCCAGCUCAAAUGCCCCAGCAGCAGGAAAAGCAACCGGCCGCCAUGACCCAACAGCAGACGCUACCGGCCAGUUAUCCUAAGCAGCCUCAAGCAAUGUUGUAUCCAGCUCAAAUAACCCAGAAGCAACCAGUUACUGAACUUCAGCAUCAGAAGGAACAGGCCUCCAUACCCCAGCUACCUCAGCAAGUGUGGUAUCCAGUUCAAAUUCCUCAGCAGCAAAAGCAACCAGCUACUGGUCCUCAGCAGCAGACGGAACUGACCACCAUGCCCCAGAAGCAACCGGCUCCAAUGCCUAUACCGCAGAAACAACCAACAGCUAUGCCCCAGAAAGCAUGGUAUCCAGCUCAAAUGCAGCAGAAGCAACCGGCCACCAUGCAGCAGCAAGUGUGGCAUCCAGCUCAAUUGCCCCAGCAGCAAAAGCAACCGGCUACUGAACCUCAGCAGCAGAAGAAACCGGCCUCCAUAACCCAGCAACCUCAGCAAGUGUUGCAUCCAGCUCAAAUGCUGCUGAAGCAACUGACUGCCAUGCCCCAGCAAGUGUGGUAUCCAGCUAAGCCCCAGAAGCAACUGGCCGCUGAUCCUCAGGAGCAGAUUGAACUGACCGCCAUGCCCCAGCAACCUCAGCAAGUGUGGUAUCCAGCUCAAAUGCCCCAGAAGCAACCAACCGCUGAACCUCAGUGGCAUCCAGCCAAAUUUCCCCAGGAGCAACCCGUCCCUAUGCGUCAACUGCAGAAGGAACUGACCGCCAUUCCACCACAACUGUGGCAAUCCGCUCAAAUUCCCCAGCAGCAUAAGCAACCGGCUGCCAAGCUUCAGCAAGUGUGGCAACUGGCCCCCAUUCCCCAGCAGCCUCAUGACUUGUGGUAUCCAGCUAAAAUGGUCCAGAAGCAGCUGCAACUCGGCAGUAGGAACUGACCACCAUGCCUCAAGAGUGACAUCCAGCUCAAUUUCCCCAGCAGCAGAAACAACCAGCCCUAAGGCUUUCACCGCAGAAGGAACUGACCGCCAUACACCAGCAACCUCAGCAAGUGUGGUGUAUCCAGCUAAAAUGCCCCAGAACCAACCAACCACUGAACCCCAGCAGCAGAAGCAACCGACCACCUUGGCCAAGCAAAUGUUGUCUCAAGCUCAAAAGCCCCAGCUGCAGAAGCAACCGGCCGCUGAACCUCAGCAGCAAAUUGAACUGACCGCCAUGCCCCAGCCACCUCAGCAAUUGUGGCAUCCAGAUCAAUUUCUCCAGGAGCAGAAGCAACGAUUCACUAUGCAUCUACCACAGAAGGAACUGACCGCCAAUCCACCACAACUGUGGCAAUCCGCUCAAAUGCCCCAGCAGCAUAAGCAACCGGCUGCCAUGCUUCAGCAAGUGUGGCAUCGGGCACAGAAGCAACCGGCCCCUAUGCCCCAGCAGCCUCACGACGUGUGGUAUCCAGCUAAAACGGUCCAGAAGCAAGUCGCUGCGGUGACCGCCAUGCCGCAUACGCAUCAGCAAGUAUGGCAUCCAGCUGAAUUUCCCCAGCAGCAGAAGCAACCGGCCUCCACGCCUCUACCGCAGGAGCAACCGACCGCCGUACCCCAGCAAGUGUGGUAUCCAGCUCAAAUGUCACGGCAGCAACUGGCCUCCAUGCCUCUACCGCAGAAGCGACUGACCGACGUGCCUCAGCAAGAGUGGCAACCAGCUCAAAUACAGCAGAAGCAACCGGCUGCUGAACCGCAGCAGAACGAACCGGCCACCAUACCCCAGCAAGUGGGGUAUCCAGCUCAAAUGCCCCAGAAGCAACUGGCCCCAAUGUCCAUGCCCCAGCAGAAUCACUACGAAAGCACUGAAGAUGGUGCCUCUAGUAGCACUCAGGCCAGCAUCGUUGAACAGUCGGGUGUCAUCCCAAUCUAUUCCUACAGUUCCAAAUCGCACUACGAGAAUGGCAGGACUGUAUUCUCCUUAACCCGCUACACUCCUAGGGAGGCUAUGCUUGUUCACAUUGGAAAUGCUCCCAAGGACAGUUUUGUUCGUACUGGUGCACCAAGCGCAUAUCCAUCACUAGUGAAAGAUUCUGCAAGGAAGUGUCUGGUGCUCUUGCUACUCUAGCGUGAGGGAGUACAUGAACAGUUCUACUUUAAAAAAUGCCCUGUCUCUGUGAAAUAAUGGUUCUCGUGUCCAUUGCUUGCUAAUUGAGAACAGGUGGUGUGCAGUCUGUAGUAAAAAUGACUGCUCAGUUAAUUCUUUGGUUUUUCUAGUCUUUUACCUUUGCUACUGGUUGUUCAAAAUAAAAGCUUGGGUCUACAUUUGUCAAGGGGUGAGUUGUCAGACAUUCUUCAUAUGUUCAUACUUUAGAUGUAGGCAUGCAUUGUAUACAGUGAGACUUUCUUCAAAUCAAAUUUAUUUAUAUAGCCCUUCAUUACAUAAGCUGACAUCUCAAAGUGCUGUACAGAAACCCCAAACAGCAAGCAAUGCAGGUGUAGAAGCACAGUGGCUAGGAAAAACUCCCUAGAAAGGCCAAAACCUAGAGGAACCAGGCUAUGUGGGGUGGCCAGUCCUCUUCUGGCUGUGCCGGGUGGAGAUUAAAACAGAACAUGGCCAAGUUGUUCAAAUGUUCAUAAAUGACCUCAGUAAGUUAACAUAUAGGGAAUGUUUUUUAGAUGGUCAGACCAUGACUCAUCACCAUGGCUCAUUUAGCUACUAGAAUUGAGUGACGAGUUGGUGUUUAACUUGCAUUUCGCCUCAUACUAUAGCCCAUACCACAAAUGGCAAAGAGUAAAAUCAGUUUAGGAGUGUCUGUUCCAUAUCUAGUUGACUCAAAUGUUAUUUUGGAUGCUUCUACCUCCAUAUUUCUGUUUGUAUGGGUUACCUGUCUUACAAUUGUGGGGUUAUAGAGGGAAACGUAACUAUGUUCGGGAGUCAAUUUCCCAUAAUGGUCAGUUUGUAGGCCAAACCGUUCUGAAGCUAUAGAUGUUUUUGAGACUGCAUUUUUGGGGUGUCUGACCAACACCACUGUAGCUCGGCCCCUGUCCACUGCAGAUGCGUAAGGGUGACAGGCGGCUGCAGUGGCUUGAGACGCAGCCCAUUCUAAAUGUUCUAGCUUCAACUGGAUUUUGAUUGGCCUUUUACUUUGACUGCCUCAAUACUCUUCACCUGUAUCCCAUUCCUCCUAGUCCAUUUAUUGUACCACAGGCUCCUAUGGAAUGGUUUCGGUGUAUUUGAUUUCUACAAUGCCUGGAACGGUUUAACCGAUCAAUUAACAAAUAUAUUCUGUACAGACUGUCUUUAAACAUGCACAUUUUUCUUAACCAAUUAUUAAUCGAAC